rnacentral:rRNA from 1 species
CCCGGUGAUCUAGCCAUGGGCAGGUUGAAGGUUGGGUAACACUAACUGGAGGACCGAACCGACUAAUGUUGAAAAAUUAGCGGAUGACUUGUGGCUGGGGGUGAAAGGCCAAUCAAACCGGGAGAUAGCUGGUUCUCCCCGAAAGCUAUUUAGGUAGCGCCUCGUGAACUCAUCUUCGGGGGUAGAGCACUGUUUCGGCUAGGGGGUCAUCCCGACUUACCAACCCGAUGCAAACUACGAAUACCGAAGAAUGUUAUCACGGGAGACACACGGCGGGUGCUAACGUCCGUCGUGAAGAGGGAAACAACCCAGACCGCCAGCUAAGGUCCCAAAGUCAUGGUUAAGUGGGAAACGAUGUGGGAAGGCACAGACAGCCAGGAUGUUGGCUUAGAAGCAGCCAUCAUUUAAAGAAAGCGUAAUAGCUCACUGGUCGAGUCGGCCUGCGCGGAAGAUGUAACGGGGCUAAACCAUGCACCGAAGCUGCGGCAGCGACACUAUGUGUUGUUGGGUAGGGGAGCGUUCUGUAAGCCUGCGAAGGUGACCUGUGAGGGUUGCUGGAGGUAUCAGAAGUGCGAAUGCUGACAUAAGUAACGAUAAAGCGGGUGAAAAGCCCGCUCGCCGGAAGACCAAGGGUUCCUGUCCAACGUUAAUCGGGGCAGGGUGAGUCGACCCCUAAGGCGAGGCCGAAAGGCGUAGUCGAUGGGAAACAGGUUAAUAUUCCUGUACUUGGUGUUACUGCGAAGGGGGGACGGAGAAGGCUAUGUUAGCCGGGCGACGGUUGUCCCGGUUUAAGCAUGUAGGCUGGUUAUCCAGGCAAAUCCGGAUAAUCAAGGCUGAGGUGUGAUGACG